AUUGAACGCUGGCGGAAUGCUUUACACAUGCAAGUCGAACGGCAGCACGGACUUCGGUCCGGUGGCGAGUGGCGAACGGGUGAGUAAUGUAUCGGAACGUGCCCAGUCGUGGGGGAUAACGUAGUGAAAAUUACGCUAAUACCGCAUACGAUCUAUGGAUGAAAGCGGGGGAUCGCAAGACCUCGCGCGAUUGGAGCGGCCGAUAUCAGAUUAGGUAGUUGGUGGGGUAAAGGCCCACCAAGCCAACGAUCUGUAGCUGGUCUGAGCGGACGACCAGCCACACUGAAACUGAGACACGGUCCAGACUCCUACGGGAGGCAGCAGUGGGGAAUUUUGGACAAUGGGCGAAAGCCUGAUCCAGCCAUUCCGCGUGCAGGAUGAAGGCCCUCGGGUUGUAAACUGCUUUUGUACAGAACGAAAAGGUUUCUACUAAUACUAGGAGCUCAUGACGGUACUGUAAGAAUAAGCACCGGCUAACUACGUGCCAGCCGCCGCCGUAA
rnacentral:rRNA from 1 species